rnacentral:rRNA from 1 species
AACUACAUACAAUAAGCGGAGGAAAAGAAACCAACAGGGAUUGCCCUAGUAACGGCGAGUGAAGCGGCAACAGCUCAAAUUUGAAAUCUGGCGUCUUCGGCGUCCGAGUUGUAAUUUGCAGAGGGCGCUUUGGCAUUGGCAGCGGUCCAAGUUCCUUGGAACAGGACGUCACAGAGGGUGAGAAUCCCGUACGUGGUCGCUAGCCUUUACCGUGUAAAGCCCCUUCGACGAGUCGAGUUGUUUGGGAAUGCAGCUCUAAAUGGGAGGUAAAUUUCUUCUAAAGCUAAAUACUGGCCAGAGACCGAUAGCGCACAAGUAGAGUGAUCGAAAGAUGAAAAGCACUUUGGAAAGAGAGUUAAAAAGCACGUGAAAUUGUUGAAAGGGAAGCGCUUGCAGCCAGACUUGCCUGUAGUUGCUCAUCCGGGUUUCUACCCGGUGCACUCUUCUAUAGGCAGGCCAGCAUCAGUUUGGGCGGUUGGAUAAAGGUCUCUGUCAUGUACCUCCUUUCGGGGAGAUCUUAUAGGGGAGACGACAUGCAACCAGCCUGGACUGAGGUCCGCGCAUCUGCUAGGAUGCUGGCGUAAUGGCUGUAAGCGGCCCGUCUUGAAACACGGACCAAGGAGUCUAACAUCUAUGCGAGUGUUUGGGUGUCAAGCCCGAACGCGUAAUGAAAGUGAACGGAGGUGGGAACCUUUCGGGGUGCACCAUCGACCGAUCCUGAUGUCUUCGGAUGGAUUUGAGUAAGAGCAUAGCUGUUGGGACCCGAAAGAUGGUGAACUAUGCUUGAAUAGGGUGAAGCCAGAGGAAACUCUGGUGGAGGCUCGCAGCGGUUCUGACGUGCAAAUCGAUCGUCAAAUUUGGGCAUAGGGGCGAAAGACUAAUCGAACUAUCUAUAGCUGGUCUCAAUUUCCUCCCCCC